rnacentral:misc_RNA from 1 species
AACCUAGCACACCUGCGGUGUGUACCUGCGGAAGGAUCAUUACAAGUGACCCCGGUCUAACCACCGGGAUGUUCAUAACCCUUUGUUGUCCGACUCUGUUGCCUCCGGGGCGACCCUGCCUUCGGGCGGGGGCUCCGGGUGGACACUUCAAACUCUUGCGUAACUUUGCAGUCUGAGUAAACUUAAUUAAUAAAUUAAAACUUUCAGCAAUGGAUCU